rnacentral:rRNA from 1 species
GACGAACGCUGGCGGCGUGCUUAACACAUGCAAGUCGAACGGAGCGAAUGAAAGCUUGCUUUUAUAAGCUUAGUGGCAAACGGGUGAGUAACACGUAGACAACCUGCCGACAGGAUGGGGACAACAUUCCGAAAGGAAUGCUAAUACCGAAUGAAGUGCAGGGGAGGCAUCUCCCCUGCAUGAAAGAUGGCCUCUGAAUAUGCUAUUACCUGUUGAUGGGUCUGCGUCUGAUUAGCUGGUAGGUGAGGUAACGGCUCACCUAGGCGACGAUCAGUAGCCGGUCUGAGAGGAUGAACGGCCACAUUGGGACUGAGACACGGCCCAGACUCCUACGGGAGGCAGCAGUGGGGAAUCUUCCGCAAUGGGCGCAAGCCUGACGGAGCAACGCCGCGUGAGUGAAGAAGGUCUUCGGAUCGUAAAGCUCUGUUGAUGGGGACGAACGUGCCUAAUGCGAAUAGUUUUAGGUA